rnacentral:rRNA from 1 species
AUUGAACGCUGGCGGCAUGCCUUACACAUGCAAGUCGAACGGCAGCACGGGAGCAAUCCUGGUGGCGAGUGGCGAACGGGUGAGUAAAGUAUCGGAACGUGCCCAGUCGUGGGGGAUAACGUAGCGAAAGUUACGCUAAUACCGCAUACGAUCUAUGGAUGAAAGCGGGGGAUCGCAAGACCUCGCGCGAUUGGAGCGGCCGAUAUCAGAUUAGGUAGUUGGUGGGGUAAAGGCUCACCAAGCCGACGAUCUGUAGCUGGUCUGAGAGGACGACCAGCCACACUGGGACUGAGACACGGCCCAGACGCCUACGGGAGGCAGCAGUGGGGAAUUUUGGACAAUGGGCGAAAGCCUGAUCCAGCCAUGCCGCGUGCAGGAUGAAGGCCUUCGGGUUGUAAACUGCUUUUGUACGGAACGAAAAGGUUUGGCCUAAUAAGCUGAGCUCAUGACGGUACCGUAAGAAUAAGCACCGGCUAACUACGUGCCAGCAGCCGCAGUAA